GUCCCCAGGAGCCUUGAUGUCAUGAACACAUUGUACCAUAUGCUCCCUCUUCUCACGGACAGUACAACUGAAACCAAACACCCAAGCAGUGUAGAUUUUAAGCGACGAGGCUACGUUUUCACCAACACCCAGGUUCCCAGUGGAUGUGUGUUGAUUAAAAGAACACCUUCCGCUUGCUGCAAAACACCAACUUUCUUCUGCCUUGUGUCCUUCGCCCGGAAGGUCUCCCACAUUCUCUUCCAUGUGUCUAAAUUCUGCUCUUCCUUCCACGGCCUGGGAAACCACUUCUCACCACAGAGCCUACACCGCCCUGCAGUCCUGGAGCCCUUCUCUGACCUCCUCAAUUCAAGAUUCGAAUCAAAGUUUCUGUUUGCCUGAUCUGUUUUACCUUCCACUGCAAAGUGAUCUGGAAAGUCUGGAUUAUACCACUACCCCUGAGAGAAACGGUUUGGGCAGAUGAGACAGUGCCUCUGUUUCUUUGGGCUUUGUUUGCUCCUAAGGUAAGUAUAAGGUCACAGAAGAAAGAACACUCCUUCCACGUUGAUGGUGCCGAACCCUUGUAAUUUACCGGUGAUGUCUUACUCACUCAUGAACUAUCCUGGGUCUGAGUCACACACAGUGGGGCCGUUAAGAGGAGGGGAAAAAAAAAAAAUUCUUGAAAUAAAUGAGUUACCUUCUGGCCAGUGAGGCAAGACAAUAGAAGCACUCACUCUCCCCACACAAUGGGUACUGAUAGCUGGUGGGGAUUGGUGGAAAAGGUUGUGAAUUUGGGGAAUAUGGGAACAACGCCUAAGGCUGUCCCGAGGGUGUGUAGUCGAAUAGGACACUGUACUGGAUCCCCAAAGGGCUACAUGCAAGUGGAAAGAGGGAACUAGAAAAAUAUCUGCCCACAAAGCAAGGAAGAUAGCUUGUCUCAAUCCUUGUCACUGGGUCCAAGGAAAAUCAUCUCCCCUGGGAAAUGAAGGAAGGAGGCAGGGAAGAAAGAGACAAGAACACUGACACCUAUCGAGUGUCGUUUAUGUGACAUCUGUUAUAUGAUAGGCACUCACAUCUUAUUAGCAUAGUCAGUCCCACAAAUUGUCACCUUCUUAAUGGAAGAGGAAACUGAGACACAAAGGCCAUGACCUACAACAUGAGCUUGCAGAUCUUAUGAUCACUGGUGUUGUGGAAGACGCUUUGCUGGGACACCAGCUACCACUGUCAACCACUGCCCGGGAAUGGGUUAUCCACAUGCACUCCCAGAACAACACCUUCUUUCCAUUCAUUUGGGAUACAUGUUUUGCUCUCAGUGGGAGGGUCUUGGCAUACCAGCCUCCAAGACCAGGAACAAACAUCUAGGCCAGUGGGGAACUUCAUAGAAAAGCAAGAUAACCAGUCUGUGAUGGUUAAUUUUAGGUAUUAACUUGGUUGGCCCACAGUACCCAGAUAUUUGGCCAAACGUUAGUUGUUUCUGUGAACGUAUUUUUUUAGAUGAGAUUAACAUUUUAAUCAGUAGACACCAGUAAAGCAGAUUAUCCUCUU